GCGGUUACUCAGCAGACCUGUCAUUUGUUCCACCCGAAAAUGUUUGCAGCGUGAAACCCGACGCUGUUGUUGCUGCAGCUGCCGCCGCCAAGUGGGAGGGCCCAGGAGGAGGAGGAAGGAGGAGAAAGUUCAGCUCCUCCUCCUCCUCUUCUGGGCUCUUCAAUUAUUUUCUCGGAAGAGUCAGGCGAGCAGAGCACGGCUGAGAAAGCAAGAGGAGGACACGCAGCGCUUGGGCGUUCCCUGGACCUUCCUUGACAGCCUUCCUGGGGGCUUACCUGCCAGUCCUGCAGAAUGAGUUAUCCCGGGUAUCCUCCUGCCGGUGGUUAUCCACCUGCUGCUCCAGAUUCCUGCUGUCUUUGAGAUGCGGAUUUUACU